rnacentral:rRNA from 1 species
UACGGAGGGUGCAAGCGUUAUCCGGAUUUACUGGGCUUAAAGGGCGCGUAGGCGGGCUGGUAAGUCAGGGGUGAAAUCUCCGGGCUUAACUCGGAAACUGCCGUUGAUACUAUCUGUCUUGAAUGCCGUGGAGGUGAGCGGAAUAUGUCAUGUAGCGGUGAAAUGCUUAGAUAUGACAUAGAACACCAAUGGCGAAGGCAGCUCGUUACACGAACAUUGACGCUGAGGCUCGAGAGCGUGGGGAGCAAACAGG